rnacentral:rRNA from 1 species
AACAGGAUUAGAUACCCUGGUAGUCCACGCCCUAAACGAUGUCAACUAGUUGUUGGUAGAGUAAAAUCUAUGAGUAACGCAGCUAACGCGUGAAGUUGACCGCCUGGGGAGUACGAUCGCAAGAUUAAAACUCAAAUGAAUUGACGGGGGCCCGCACAAGCGGUGGAUUAUGUGGAUUAAUUCGAUGCAACGCGAAAAACCUUACCUGGCCUUGACAUGUACGGAACUUUCCAGAGAUGGAUUGGUGCUCGAAAGAGAACCGUAACACAGGUGCUGCAUGGCUGUCGUCAGCUCGUGUCGUGAGAUGUUGGGUUAAGUCCCGCAACGAGCGCAACCCUUGCCAAUAAUUGCCGUCAUUUAGUUGGGCACUUUAUUGGGACUGCCGAUGACAAAUCGGAGGAAGGUGGGGAUGACGUCAAGUCCUCAUGGCCCUUAUGGCCAGGGCUUCACACGUAAUACAAUGGUCGGUACAGAGGGUCGCCAACCCGCGAGGGGGAGCUAAUCCCAGAAAGCCGAUCGUAGUCCGGAUUGUUCUCUGCAACUCGAGAGCAUGAAGUCGGAAUCGCUAGUAAUCGCGGAUCAGCAUGUCGCGGUGAAUACGUUCCCGGGCCUUGUACACACCGCCCGUCACACCAUGGGAGUGGGUUUUACCAGAAGUAGGUAGUCUAACCGCAAGGAGGGCGCUUACCACGGUAGUAUUCAUGACUGGGGUGAAGUCGUAACAAGGUAACC